rnacentral:piRNA from 1 species
GCCCAAGCUGCUGUGUUCUUAAGGGCAAGC